CAAUUCGCCAGCGGUUCAGGUGGCUCUUGCCUCGAUGUCCUAGCCUAGGGGCCCCCGGGCCGGACUUGGCUGGGCUCCCUUCACCCUCUGCGGAGUCAUGAGGGCGAACGACGCUCUGCAGGUGCUGGGCUUGCUUUUCAGCCUGGCCCGGGGCUCCGAGGUGGGCAACUCUCAGGCAGUGUGUCCUGGGACUCUGAAUGGCCUGAGUGUGACCGGCGAUGCUGAGAACCAAUACCAGACACUGUACAAGCUCUACGAGAGGUGUGAGGUGGUGAUGGGGAACCUUGAGAUUGUGCUCACGGGACACAAUGCCGACCUCUCCUUCCUGCAGUGGAUUCGAGAAGUGACAGGCUAUGUCCUCGUGGCCAUGAAUGAAUUCUCUACUCUACCAUUGCCCAACCUCCGCGUGGUGCGAGGGACCCAGGUCUACGAUGGGAAGUUUGCCAUCUUCGUCAUGUUGAACUAUAACACCAACUCCAGCCACGCUCUGCGCCAGCUCCGCUUGACUCAGCUCACCGAGAUUCUGUCAGGGGGUGUUUAUAUUGAGAAGAACGAUAAGCUUUGUCACAUGGACACAAUUGACUGGAGGGACAUCGUGAGGGACCGAGAUGCUGAGAUAGUGGUGAAGGACAAUGGCAGAAGCUGUAAGUGGCCGUGAUC
rnacentral:sRNA from 1 species